GCUGCCAAUGAACGAUAAAUUUUUCCUUAUUUAUAAGAUUCCCCAAUAUACCAGGCGUGGUGUCUACUACAAUGUCUACCUUAGCGAAGCUAUAGGUAUCUUCAUUCUCCUUGCAAUAUAUCUAUCUAUAAAGUCUUCAAAAAAGUUUCUAAACAGACAAAAGUUGCGUCUGCUGUGAGCGUGAGCAAGGAUUAAAUCACGUUGAAGACACUUGAAAAACAACUGCAGAUCUUUCAACGGAAAUCAGAUCUUUAUGGCGGUGGCAUUGGUGCCAAAACGCAGGUCAGCAUUACUGCACUCUUUGGUGCUGGCAAUGUUUUGUCAAGUUGUGAACAGAAGCAUAUUAUAAUUCAGCUGGCACAUUUUGUUCCAUUUGGGUGCCGCUUUCAAGAUGAACAACAAUAUUUGGAACUAAGCAGGAAAGCGACGCAGUGCGAAAGACUUCAUGAGAGCUUACUUCACCAGCCCAUGCAAAAAAAAAGUAGUGUAAAAUAAUCCAACACAGUCAUCAGCUGCAGCUGUUUACAUAUACACAUACGUAACAGUUGUCUGUCAAGUAAAUUAUUUGUUGAUAUUUCUAUUGCACACGUCACGCGACGGUCGGUCACAACUUCAGUCGUUCAUCAUGACUACCACCCAACAAGCAGCUGACAAGAGCGUUCAUGCGGCAUCAAAGGUGGGCCGAGAGCGGUGGGACUCGAAGACUGAGUUCUUGUUAGCCGUGAUCGGCUUUGCCGUUGACCUGGGAAAUGUGUGGCGGUUUCCGUACAUUUGCUAUAGAAACGGUGGAGGUGCGUUUUUAGUGCCGUAUUUAAUAAUGCUGCUAUUUGGCGGUCUUCCACUCUUCUACCUCGAGCUUGCGUUAGGCCAAUAUCACCGAUCUGGAUGCCUCACCAUUUGGCAGUAUAUUGCACCUGUUUUCAAAGGCAUCGGCUACGCGAUCUGUGUCAUCGACAUCUAUAUGGCCAUGUACUAUAAUACGAUCAUUGCGUGGGCUGUAUACUAUCUACAGGCUUCAUUCACACCGAUAUUACCGUGGACAUCUUGCAAUAAUCCCUGGAAUACGCCUGAAUGUUCCGAGCUUGGAGGAAGGACCACUGAAGAAAAUCCUAACUCAACUGGGGUUAUAAAAGAAAAAGUUAGCCCGGCGGAAGAGUACUUCGAACGUCAUGUUCUGGAGAUGCACAAGUCGCCAGGGUUGGGUGAAAUGGGCCCUAUCAGGGCGCCCAUUGCGGGCUGUUUGCUACUGGUCUUUGGGCUCGUUUACCUAGCCCUCUGGAAAGGCGUGAAAUCAACCGGGAAAGCGGUCUAUAUCACGGCUAUUGCUCCAUACGUUGUUCUGCUUGCUCUACUUAUUAAAGGAGUCACCCUCGAUGGGGCUUAUGACGGAAUUGCGUAUUAUCUGUGGCCUGAUUGGACCAAGCUGCAGGAGCGCGAGGUGUGGGUGGACGCAGCAACACAGAUCUUCUUCUCGCUGGGACCUGGGUUUGGAACAUUGCUGGCCCUAUCAUCGUAUAAUCGAUUUCAUAACAACUGUUAUCGGGAUGCUUUGCUCACAUCCUGUAUUAACUGUGGCACCAGCUUCGUCGCCGGAUUGGUUAUCUUUUCGUUCCUCGGUUAUAUGGCGAAAAUGUUGGGCAGAGAUAUUAGUAGCGUCGCUGCCACUGGACCAGGGCUCGUGUUCAUCGUUUACCCUCAGGCAAUCUCAACACUCCUUUACUCGCCAUUAUGGAGCGUCAUGUUCUUCCUUAUGCUGAUUACCCUCGGACUUGACAGCACGUUCGGAGGGUUGGAAGCGAUGUUAACAGGCCUAUGUGACGAGUAUCCUGAUCUAUUAAGAAAACAUCGAGAAAUCUUCGUCGCCGGGGUCCUCGCCUUCAUCUUCAUAUGCGCUCUGCCAACAACAACCUGUGGAGGAUUUUAUUUGGUGGAGCUUUUAGACACCUACGCGACAGCUGUUAGCGUCUUAUUUGUGGUGUUCGUCGAAGGUGUAGUUAUUUGCUGGAUUUACGGAGCUGAACGGUUUUCGCAGAAGGUUUACCAAAUGCUCGGUUCCCCGCCAGGCCUAUAUUGGCGUCUGUGCUGGACCUACAUCAGUCCUAUAUUUUUACUGGUGGUAUUGGUGUUUUCUUUUGAGCGAGCUCGUACUACAGAUUUGGACGUUUCAAAAUAUCCGUGGUGGUCCGUUCGCGUUGGGGUCGCCACCGCUCUCAGCUCGAUGAUGCUUGUAAGUUACAUUCGUUAAGGUUUAAACUAUUGAUUAUAUAGUACGCCCAUAUCAGUAUCAAAAUUUACCUCCCACUGUCAGCGUAAGGAUUUAACAUUGAUGUUACUAUGCUUUUGAAGGCCUUAUUCAUCACGAAACAAUAAAAGGCAACCUAAAAGGAACUUGUGCCUAUACCUUGAUAGGAUAUUGCCGUUCUAAUCAUAUGUGAGUCCCAGCGUAACACACCGGCGCUCCGCUGUUAACUUAAAGCAAUAAGCUGAAAUCGAAAAUACUCAAUUCUAAGUUAGAACUGCUUUUUAUAAAUCGAUGCUUUACAGGACAAAAAGAAGAGCAAAGUAGAUUCUCAGUUGGUAGUCUAUUGCAAAUAGCAGGAGAUAAACUCAAACUGAAAUUUAUUGCAGGUGUUGCUAAUUGGUAAUUUAAAAAUGGGUUAUCUUUGUUGUAGGCACAAAUCGCGAUAAUUUAGAUAAGAUAUCAAUUUUUAGAUUUCUUCUGCGAGCACGCUCACCGGCUACAAUUGUCAUCCAAUGAUGAACCAUUGAUACAAUGUAGAAACAGGCAGCUUUACGAUCCAACGGUCUGCGCUAUCAUCGUUUUUUUUUAUGAACAUUAUUCCGAGCGCCAUCCGUGUAAACAAGGUAUUCAAUUGACCAGAUGUUUCGAUGAUCAGACUCGCCGAUCUGAAUUAUACUUUCUGCUUCCGAGAGGUCGUGCAGCUAUCUCGUCUGACAGCUCCAGCCGCUUAUAUACUCCUGUACUCUAUUCUGGUAACACACGUUUCACUGUCUCUUUCGUCCUUUUCUCUCUCUCGAAAGGACUUCCUGGUAGUUUUCCACCUCAUUGUCUGCCUGUUUCUCUAUGUGGUGCUGGAUACCACUACCACCUUUAAGUAGACGCUGGAUAUCUCAAACCUGCUAUACGGCUAGAGUGGCAAGUAAUAUAGUUGCUUGAAUGUAUUGGCCGACUUUUCGACCCAGAUCCUCUCCAUGUCCUGAGAAAGAGAUUUGUUUUUGGUCUAACAUGAUUCGGAGAUAUCUAUAGAACUUAUUUUUGCUUACCUCUUCCCUUCCAUUUAAAGAAGCCUUUGUUAGCCUGCUUACAUGUGUAACAGUUUAAUUAUUGCAUUUCAGGCAGAGUUUGUGCCUUAUUCCUCUUAACAUCUUCCGAUGUUUGUUGGCUAUAUAUCUAAUAUUUUGAGAGCAUUAAGAAAAACACAUGCUGGCUGUUUGCUAUGGUCUGUCGCCAGCCAGCUCCAACAUCAGCCUAAGACUAUUACUUAAAGAUAUCUCCUCGCCUGUUCUUCCUGAAUCCAUCUUACAUUUCUCCUAAGAUUCGUGUUACAAUAUCUAUCCUUUAUACUUUUACGAACUAACUUUGAUAUUAAUUUAUAUGGAAAGCUAAAUACUGCGAUGGAUCGGUAAGUUCUGACAACCCCCAUACUCGACAAACCUUUCUCGAGUAAGAAUACCCGCAUCCUCAGGUCAGUUAGGCAAAAUUUUAGACUAUAAUGGUAUUGAAAAGGUUUCUUUUUAUAAAUAUGCAUAAAUGUACACUAUUAUCUAUAUUUAGUUCUAUAGCGGAUCUACUUUAUGUAGUCUCGAGCAUUUUUGUUUUUUUUUGUGUGUGAUCAUUUGCAGUCUAAUAUUUAGCGGUACAUGUCGGUUGUUUCCUUUUCUUCUAAUGUUUAGUAGCCACUUUAAAUAGUUUUAUCCCUCUGUUAAGUACUUCCCUCCCACUGUUGUCUUUUACAGUCACUGCUUAAGCUCAUAAUUGUUUAGGUUGCGUAUACCCUCCCCCCCCCCGCCCCAAGGCACGAAAAACUAGUUCUUAACUAGAAAUAAUAACAUAUGGUCAUGUUGUUCUUUCUCAACUGUUCACUUUUUUCUUGUAUAUAUAUUUCUCGGUCGAAGCGAGCUAUCGCUUUAGAGAUCAAACGACCCGGUUAAAUAAUGAUUCCUUUUGGUUGUAACGUGUCGUCUUUUUAUGUCUGUGUAUCUUGCCCACUUGCGUUAUUUUCCUAGACCGGAAGGCCAGGUUCGAGUGCGCAAUUAUGAUUCAAGAAUUUCGAUUGCAUUAUUCAUUGUUUGAACGGUUCUCAAGGGAGUACGUACUUCUCAGAGUUCAUAUUAUUAUCCGUGAAGUCACUAAUCACUUCGUUUGCCACGCUCUUUGUGUCCAUCGGUCGUACUAACCUCACUUUUCCUUUUGAAUAAUCUAUGGGAAGCCUAACAUACAACAUAACAAUAUUAAGGCGAGAUCCUUUGUGUACGGUCGCGUCAGGUUCCAGCUUUCGCUACUAUUUUGAAAACAAGCGCCUUAUUUUGCCUGGUUAAUUGUGGGCAGUAGGAACCCCAGCGGAUGGUACAAGUUGAUACUGUGAAGUCACUGGAACAGCGAUUCCCGAGAGGCUACCAAACGCUGAAGUGAUCCCAAGCGAAACAGCCGCGGUCCUCAGAUAGUCCAGAACAUGACGGCUGGCUAAAUAGGCUAACCAUCAAGGUGUCCUAUGUUUUGCCGCAUCGGCUAGUGACCAACUAACAUUGCGAAUCUUUGUCAGAUAUUAUUUGCCUCUAGACAUUUACAGGUUGCAUGAGAUACUGUGUCCCUAAAAGGAAGUCGCAAACGUGAGCCUCUCCACACUUUCAGCCCCUCGCGCUUUACGGUUAUGUGCCAUUGUAUGCGGUCUAUAUGCUGCUCAAGACGCCAGGCAGUUUCAAGCAGCGAUUGGAGAUCUGUCUUCGACCCA